rnacentral:lncRNA from 1 species
GAAGAGUACAAAAAAAAAAAAAAAGAUUGUUUUUAUUAAUCUCUUUUCUCUUUGCCCACAGAACUCAAAGAAAUGGUGUUACCUGGCAAGAGAUCUGCUGUCUUUUAUGAAAAGUCAGAUCAAGGGUUUCUCUAAAGUGCAGCUGGCGCUUCCCCCCGUUCUCUGCAGCCAGGAAGGAUCUACAAAAUGCUGAAAUGUCUGUUGCUGAAUAUCAAGGUACCUCUUCGAAAAUAAUGCCGCUGACCACUCAGGAAAGUGCGAGCAAGUAUUGAUGCCAUAUACUAAAUCAUAACUAAAUGACUGGCUUUUUUACUGCUAAAUUUCAAACUCUCUUUCUAUCGCUGUUCUAAAUUCUUGGGUCUUUUUUUUUAAUUUUUUAAAAUUUUUUAUUUUUAUUUUUAUUUUAUUUUUA